AUGCCAUGUUGUAUUUGCACAUAUCGAGCAUAUUGUGUGUAUGAUUUGAAAUGGCUGCCUGCCCCGCUUGGACAGCAUGGCGACGCCUCGAAGCCACUCCUCGGCGCCGCCCCGAUCCUGCACUUCUCCCCUCUCUCCCUGGAGCUCUCCCCCUCCUCUGGUUCUUCCUCCCUCGCCUUUUCCCCACCUCACCGAACCGCGCUGCCGCCGCCGAUGAGCACCACUGCGGCCAUAGCCACUCCCUCACUCCCUCUCCGUAUCCCCGAGCUCCGCAUCGUUGCCCUCUUCGUCCACGCCGAGCCAAGAAACCGGGGAAGCACCGCGUCGCCGUCCUGGAUGUCUUCUUCAACCUCGGUGCCGGCGAUCCCCAUCAUCGGUUCGCUACAGCCAGGCCGUCCCCGAGCCUCCCGUGCUGAUCUUCAGGACCGCUGUGAGCUGCUGCUGCUUAUCCCUUGCUCGCCCCCUCCGUUCCCGUCCCCUAGCCCCGUCCUCCGACCACAGCCGAGCUUGCCGCCGCCGUGCCAUGUCGUUGUCGUGGCCACAGUCGCCCCCACCCGUUUUUGA
rnacentral:rRNA from 1 species